rnacentral:lncRNA from 1 species
UCGAACCUCUCGCUUUCUCUCACCCAGAAACACGCUGUUUCUCAUGCUCUCUCUCAAUCGAACUUCUCUCUCAAUCGAACCUCUCUCUCUCACCCAAAACCCUCAAUUUCAAACCCUCACAAUCAACACCAAUCGAAUCUCAGACAACCUUAACCUCAACGAAAUCUCAAUCAAACCACAACCCUAAUAUCGUCUUCUUAAACCCUACCAUUGUCCCUCUGAAAUCUCUUGGAAAUGGC